rnacentral:tRNA from 2 species
UAGCUCAGGGGUAGAGCACAACCUUGCCAAGGUUGGGGUCGCGAGUUCGAAUCUCG